GGAAAAUUCAUCAGACUGAGAUUUUGACUCUAGGAGAUAAUUCAUCAGACUAGGUCCAUUUUUAUGUGAUCCCGACUUUCUUAAUUUUCCAAAUUCCAACUUCUUUUCUUUUCAAAUUCUGUCUUCUUUUCUUGUUCCCAAAUUAUGUCUUCUUUUCUUCUUCUUUUUUUCGACUUCUGUCUUCUCCUUCUUUAAAUUAUGCCUUCCUUUCUUUUUCCUCAAAUUUUGCCUUCCAUUCUUUUUUCCAACUUCUGCCUUUAUCUAAAUUAUGCCCUCCUUUCUUUUCCAACUUCUGCCUUUAUCUUUUUCCAAAUUAUGCCUUCCUUUCGUUUUUCCAACUUUUGCAUUUAUCUUAGGUGAAAGAUUCAUCAGACUAAGAUUUCUUUAUCUUAGGUGAAAAAUUCAACAGACUAAGAUUUCUUUAUCCAAGGUGAAAAAUUCAUCAGACUAAGAUUUCUUUUAACCAUUUUCCUUCAAAAUUUGUUUUAUCUACCCACUAACUUGAAUUAUCUUCCUUCAGAACUGCUUCCCUAAAAACUGGUGUUGUCCUCCUUCAAAAAACCACUUCCCUAAAAACUAGUGUUUCAUUCCUCCAAAAAUUACUUUUCUUAGAACUGGUGUUUCUUUCCUGAAAACUACUUCCCUAUCUUUUUCUCUUUUUUUAAAGACACUUGUAUUGACCUUCAUGUUCUUCAGAUGGGUACCCGAAAAAAAAUUUCAACACGACAGAAAAUUUUCUGCCCCAGUUUGAUAA
rnacentral:lncRNA from 1 species